AUUUCUUGACUGUCAAAUAGCUCCAAAACUUUUGGGGAGAAAAGAAAACUAUAUCUGGAGAAGGAUCAGUGGUCAAAUGCACACUGACAGACACUGGACUUGGCUUUGAAGGAUGUGCAAGGUGGAAUUAAGGCAGUGGGUAAAGAAGAUGUCUAUCUUUGUUAAUAAAACCAAAAAAAACCAAACUCCCAAGCUUACCCACUCGCCAUCCUUAGUUCCCAAGGUCUCACUCUCCUCCUUCCUUGCCAUAUUCCUAUAAAACAGGGCAAACAUGGGCUAUGGGCUGUUGAGAGACUUAGGGAUUAGGUAACAGCUUUACACUCAACAAUAGAGAUAAAGAGAAGCUAUACAACCUUAGAUUCACCCUGGAUAGUUAGACAAUGUCCAUAAAAUGGCAAAAUUUCCAUGAAGAUCUAUGAGGAAGAAAAGAAAUUUCCUCUAGUAGACUUAGUAGGAAUUAGCAUCAAAAGCAAAUUUAGAUAGGCAUUUGGGAUCUUCGAAAACCUCUCUUAUAGAUUAAAAGUAGAUUCAGAUUUGAGGUAUUAUUAUAGAAAGAAUUUUUCCUGAUCUCAAUACCUUGAUAUAUUUUCAACCUACGUGUCACUUUAAUAGCUCAGUUAUAUAAUUGCUAUAGUAAUAAUUAGGUUGCCACAUUAUACGCCUUAUCUGAGGAUCAUGGCAAGCUUUGAAUGGUGAGCCAUUCUUCUCUACUAAGAAGUAAUGACCACAAGUAAGAAAAAAGUCUAGUUGAUUAAUCACACACAAUGUUAAAUGACUUGUUCUGGAGUCAAUCAAUGUUUUGACAAAAUGAAAUUGAGAAUCCAACAGGUUUCGUUCUUAAAUCUCAUGAUCCUUUUACUCAGUUCAAAAUUAUCAUUUGCCCUAAAGGGUCUGACCUGUAAACUCGAAGUCAGAUGUUUAAGAGCCCAAUUCUCUUUGCUGGUAACCAGUUAUCACUGGAAGUAAGUACUUUAUUUUUACAGAAACUCAACCUUUUAGUCUCUUAAUCCUCACUCUUCUUCCAGUUGUAUUUGCUCAUGAAAAACAAAUGAACAAAAACAGAAAAUAGCUUUGGACAAAUGAAGCCGAUUGUCUUUUUCAUUGAAAAUUCUGAUUCCGGAUAAGAUCCAUCUCAGUCAACCCCAGGCCUAAAGCUUACCACAUCCAUUUGUUGAUUUCUUUUUAUUCCCCGCCCACCUGUUCCUGCUCUCUCAACGACCUCAUGUUAUGCAGGCAACUGGGUCCUCCAGCUGUUGCUGCUCAGCUGCUGUAGUUUGUCAAGCAGCAAUUUCUCCCUUUUAAAAAUCUGACAACUUGGGAGAGAGUCAGAUAACUUUCUGUGGAUUAGGGGAAACAUUUGAUGGGCUAGGUUGUUGAUGGGUGGAUUGCAAGGGAAUUAGAAACGUCACUCUGAUAAGUAUACAUUUUGUUCCUGGCGCCAGUCUGGCACCAAAUAAGGGCGCUAGUAUCAUUUGACAAAUCUCAGCAACUUCCAAAAGGGUUCUGGAACAUUCCUUCCAAAGGCUGCACCCAUCCCCUCCACUGUCUUCCGUGUGCAAAUCUCCAUGCUAGACAGGGAAGCCUUUUUUCUUCUUCCUACCCUUUCCCCAGACUUCUUUGAAAUGUUCCCAUCCUAUCUUCUUGCUUUGUGGUACACAAUCUCUCACCCUACCCCUCCUUUCUUCUGGCAACGUCUGGAAAGAAAUCCUGCCGCUCCCUAUAGAGACAGCUGUUGCUACUUCAGAAACCAGCCAUGGUCAAGGCAAGUGACAUUUGAUUUCUGGUAGAAAUAAGUAACCCUCGGCCAACUCCUCACUUCACUUUGGUAGCCACCCACGCCGCCUCAGACACACAGCUGUAGAGGAGGGUGAGACUUUGUCUGGCUCCCAUUUGAAAGACAGAAAGAAAAAGUGGUGGGUGGGGCAGAGAAAGGAAGAGAAGGCUGAGCAAGAAAAAUUAAAGGUUUGCAGGAGUGGGCUAAUGGAGAAAGGAGAAAAGGGAAAGGCCAGGUUAGUGGGGGAAAUGAGGCAAUGGCUGGCCUCUGGGUCUGAAAGACCCAGAAUAUUAACGUUCUCUGCCCUUGGAAUGGAAGCUCCUGACAGCCCUGGAGGGGCAUCUCAUUUUCCACUUCGAAGGUAGGUAUACAAAGAACAGCUUCCGUUGAAAAGCCUCUUCAGAAGGAAGACAAAUUCACCAUGCUGUAUUUUGGCUCUAUUAAAAACAAAUUGGGGGGGGGGGGACCUAACAACAACACAUGACUGCACAAUGUCAGUAGAAGCUGUUCUCUAAGGAGAUAGACUAGUUAAUAUCCCUUUAAAAAAAUCCCAUAAUAGGGCCUACAUUUCUUGUUCCAAAUGGCUCUGAGCACACUGGGCUUGCUUUUAUUUGUUUUUUGUUGUUGUUGUUGUUUUCUUUUUUUAAAACUGAAACAACUAUGUUAAUAAAAUUUGAAUCCAAAAGUGUGAUAGGGAAAAGAUAUUUUGGCCUUUGGUUUGUGUUGAGUAGCCAAUAGCGAGGAAAGU
rnacentral:lncRNA from 1 species